rnacentral:rRNA from 1 species
UACGUAGGGUGCAAGCGUUGUCCGGAAUUAUUGGGCGUAAAGAGCUCGUAGGCGGUCUGUCGCGUCGGAUGUGAAAAUCCAGGGCUCAACCCUGGACCUGCAUUCGAUACGGGCAGACUAGAGUUCGGUAGGGGAGACUGGAAUUCCUGGUGUAGCGGUGAAAUGCGCAGAUAUCAGGAGGAACACCGGUGGCGAAGGCGGGUCUCUGGGCCGAAACUGACGCUGAGGAGCGAAAGCGUGGGGAGCGAACCGG